rnacentral:rRNA from 1 species
CCUACGGGUGGCUGCAGUGAGGAAUAUUGGACAAUGGGCGCGAGCCUGAUCCAGCCACGUAGCGUGAAGGAUGACUGUCCUACGGGUUGUAAACUUCUUUUAUAAAGGAAUAAAGUGAGGCACGUGUGCCUUUUUGUAUGUACUUUAUGAAUAAGGCUAGGCUAACUCCGUGCCAGCACCCGCGGUAAUACGGAGGGUCCGAGCUUGAUCUGGAUUUAUUGGGUUGAAAGGGAGCGUAGAUGGGUUGUGAAGGCAGUUGUGAAAGAUUGCGGCUCAACCGGAAAAUUGCAAUGGAUACUGGCAGUCUUGAGUACAGUUGAGGUAGGCGGAAUUCGUGGUGUAGCGGUGAAAUGCUUAGAUAUCACGAAGAACUCCGAUUGCGAAGGCAGCUUACUAAACUGCCACUGACAUUGAUGCUCGAAAGUGUGGGUAUCAAACAGGAUUAGAUACCCCAGUAGUC